GGCGGUGUAGCUCAGCUGGUUAGAGCACACGGCUCAUAUCCGUGUUGUCCGGGGUUCAAGUCCCUGCACCGCCACCA
rnacentral:tRNA from 11 species